AAAGGGGCGACGGGGGACACUUCCCCCUUCCCGGCAAGAAAGUUCGAGCAGGGAACGGGAGAACUCGCCGGUUUUCGACACUUUUUUCAAGGCGCCGGGACGGGGGUUGGGAGGUGUUGCUAACUCAAGUCAGAUGAGCUGCGGAGCUCAGGAGCUCUGACUGCUCUGUUUUCAAUCUCUGAAAUCCCCCCGCCCUCCCCACUCCUCCUUCCCUCCGCCCGGAGAUGCCCCGGUCGCUGUUCCCUGGGCGCCCGCUUCUCCAGGCGCCGGGGCGGAAGCCAGGAUCGAGAAGGAAGGGAGGCAGGGGCUCGGUCCACGCGGACCCUCUUCCUGCUGGCGGCGAACGCAGGUGCCAGGGGUCAUGCUGCGCCCCCCUUAGCGGCUCGCGCAAGUUGCCUGCGGAGCGCAUGUUGGCGAGAAACGAAGCAGCCUUCUGGGUUUGGUGCAUAUGUUUUCUAAGGAGGGUUUUUGUUUUGUUUUGUUUUUUUGGAGACUCCACUAGAGCGGCUGCAGCCAGAUGGAAGUAAUCAGAACCCAACAACGGAGAGAGGGUAGAAAAACCCUCGCUGAAUUUUCGGGCCAAAGUGUGGAUGGGACUAUGUGUCAAAAAACUUGCUUGAGCUAACUGGAGGAGUCCUGGGACCUCCAGCCACCCCACAGCCCAGAACUGGCCGCCCGACUUGGAGAAGGAGGAGGGCCGCUGGCUAGAGUGCCCUCCCAAGGCCUCCAAGGCUCCGGAAUCAUCCCAACAGUGCCUUGUGAGAGAUUUUUUAAUAUUUCUAUUUAACGUUUGCAGGACACUUAAAGCCAAGUGAUACGGUUCUAAUUUCCUUUGUAUUAUUUAACCUUGUCGCCUCUGAGAGGUAGUCUCUGCUCCCCCUGCACAGCUGAGAAGACUGAGGUUUAAGGAAAUGGAGGGACUUGUCCAAGACCAACUCAACUCCUGCUGGAAUCCAGACACUCACAGAACCUUUCCCGGAUUAUUUUGGCAAAAAAGAUGACUGUGGAGAAGAUGGAAUGUUUUCAGGACCAGCCCUCCCAGAAGUUGAGUUUCUUGAACAAAUGAAGAAGACAGAAUCAUUUCACAGCCACCAAAGAUUCCUGGAAAUAUCAAUGGUCUACAUCAAUCAUGACAUAAUGAGAGUCAAUAUUUCAAGACAAUUCUAAAUGAAAUUCCUGAAGACGUCUAAUUAAAAUGGGAUGGAGUUCUCAUAAGAUACAGACUGGUCUGCAGACUGAUCUUCAGGACAGUGUCACAAGGUUCAUUUGAAUCAAUCUCCUAAUGCUUGUCCAGCAUGCAUGAGGCCUUGGGUUCCAUACGCAGCACUGCACAACUAAUAAUAAUUAGUUGAUAAUAAAAAGGAUAAAUCAGCCACCUUUCUUAGGAGCUACCUAGGAGGCCAAUUCCCAGUACAUUUGCUUCUUGGGUCCCAUUCGCUCUGGGCAUUGUCUGCAACAGAAGGAAGAUAAGAUAACAUGAAAUCACUGGAGGACUGUCAUUAAAAACAAUUUACAUCUGAGUCUUCCACAAAUGUGUGCAGCCCAUUUCCUUCCUUUGGCACCUCCUCUGUUACCCAUGACAUUAUUAAUGUUUGAACUUGUCUGAAAUGUGUUUUGUGCCUGUGUACUUGAUGAGCCUCAUUUUGCCAGAAGUCAUUUGCAGAGAAGCAAGUCUCCACUGCCUUUGAAUAAACUGAAGAUGGAUAAGAACAGAGCAGAGGUCCUUUCCUGACAACCUCAUGGUAGACAGCCCAUGUGGGGGCAUUGGGUAGCAAGCCCCCUACCCCAAAUUAGAAUAGACAACAAAGGUUUCCAUGUAAGUGAGCAAAACCAGUUAGAAGAUAAAGUAGAAAAGAAGACCCCAAUUAUAAGACAAAGAAGCCAGGUGUGAUGAAGCACAGUAAUCCUAGUACUUAGGAGGCAGAGGCAGGAGGAUCACCACAAGCAAGUUCAAGG